UAGGGAAUUUUCGUCAAUGGGCGCAAGCCUGAACGAGCAAUGCCGCGUGAACGAGGAAGGUCUUCGGAUCGUAAAGUUCUUUGAAGGGGAAAAAGGAAGCGGAGAGAGGAAAU
rnacentral:rRNA from 1 species